GACGAACGCUGGCGGCGUGCUUAACACAUGCAAGUCGAACGGAAAGGCCCUGCUUGCAGGGUGCUCGAGUGGCGAACGGGUGAGUAACACGUGGGUGAUCUGCCCCUUAUUUUGGGAUAAGCCUGGGAAACUGGGUCUAAUACUGGAUAGGACCAUGCUGUAGGUGGUGUGGUGGAAAGAUUAGUUUCGGUAAGGGAUGAGCUCGCGGCCUAUCAGCUUGUUGGUGGGGUAAUGGCCUACCAAGGCGUCGACGGGUAGCCGGCCUGAGAGGGUGGACGGCCACAUUGGGACUGAGAUACGGCCCAGACUCCUACGGGAGGCAGCAGUGGGGAAUAUUGCACAAUGGGCGCAAGCCUGAUGCAGCGACGCCGCGUGGGGGAUGACGGCCUUCGGGUUGUAAACACCUUUCAGCCAUGACGAAGCCCUUGUGGUGACGGUAGUGGUAGAAGAAGCACCGGCUAACUACGUG
rnacentral:rRNA from 1 species